rnacentral:lncRNA from 1 species
UCGGCAGCCAUCAACCACCACCCUACCACCAUCAUUCGACCUUGUUCCAUCCAUUCUAUUACCAUACAAGGGUGCAAGGAGACACACAACGAAGCUUGGUGCGUUCGGAAGUCGAAGGACCGCUCUCGUUUUCUUUUAUCCACCACUUUUCUACACUCGAACUCCCCUAGCCUUGUGCUAGUAGGCGGAUAAACAAUUGAGGGAUUGUGUUAACGUUUAAAAACGCACCCGAAGGUGAGUACAUAGUUCCCCUAUUUUACUGAUUUCAAAUGUUUUGGGGUGAAGUUGCUUAGUCUUGAUUGCGAAUAGGAAGCAUGCUCACUUAGGACCGGACG